UUUGUAGUGAGAAUAUAGUUACUUUCUUUGGGUCAGCAAAUGCGUAUAGCAUGCUUUGCAAUAUGUUGCAAUUGAAUUAUCCAUUUUAUGAACUUCAAGUUCAUAUCAUGAUAUUCGGGGAUCUACAAAUGAUAAUUCAUCUCAUGUAACUUUUCUCAAGCGUUUAUCAUGUCUACCCCUCAUGUUAGAAAAGCUAACUUGUUUCCUCAACUUUGGG
rnacentral:lncRNA from 1 species